rnacentral:tRNA from 2 species
GCCCGAGUGGCGGAAUAGGUAGACGCACAGGACUUAAAAUCCUGCGAGUAUAAAAACUCGUGCCGGUUCAAGUCCGGCCUCGGGCACCA